UACGUAGGGUGCGAGCGUUUGUCCGGAAUUAUUGGGCGUAAAGAGCUCGUAGGCGGUUUGUCACGUCUGCUGUGAAAUCCCGAGGCUCAACCUCGGGCCUGCAGUGGGUACGGGCAGACUGGAGUGCGGUAGGGGAGAAUGGAAUUCCUGGUGUAGCGGUGGAAUGCGCAGAUAUCAGGAGGAACACCGGUGGCGGAAGGCGGGAUCCUGGGCCAGUACUGACGCUGAGGAGCGAAAGCGUGGGGAGCAAACAGG
rnacentral:rRNA from 1 species